UACGUAGGGGGCUAGCGUUGUCCGGAAUCAUUGGGCGUAAAGCGCGCGUAGGUGGCUUCGUAAGUCCGCUGUGAAAGUCAAAGGCUCAACCUUUGAAAGCCGGUGGAUACUGUGGAGCUAGAGUCCGGAAGAGGCGAGUGGAAUUCCUGGUGUAGCGGUGGAAUGCGCAGAUAUCAGGAGGAACACCAAUAGCGAAGGCAGCUCGCUGGGACGGUACUGACACUGAGGCGCGAAAGCGUGGGGAGCGAACAGG
rnacentral:rRNA from 1 species